AUUGAACGCUGGCGGUAGGCCUAACACAUGCAAGUCGAACGGCAGCACAGGAGAGCUUGCUCUCUGGGUGGCGAGUGGCGGACGGGUGAGGAAUACAUCGGAAUCUACUUUUUCGUGGGGGAUAACGUAGGGAAACUUACGCUAAUACCGCAUACGACCUACGGGUGAAAGCAGGGGAUCUUCGGACCUUGCGCGAUUGAAUGAGCCGAUGUCGGAUUAGCUAGUUGGCGGGGUAAAGGCCCACAAAGGCGACGAUCCGUAGCUGGUCUGAGAGGAUGAUCAGCCACACUGGAACUGAGACGCGGUCCAGACUCCUACGGGAGGCAGCAGUGGGGAAUAUUUGACAAUGGGCGCAAGCCUGAUCCAGCCAUACCGCGUGGGUGAAGAAGGCCUUCGGGUUGUAAAGCCCUUUUGUUGGGAAAGAAAUCCAGCUGGUUAAUACCCGGUUGGGAUGACGGUACCCAAAGAAUAAGCACCGGCUAACUUCGUGCCAGCAGCCGCGUAA
rnacentral:rRNA from 1 species